rnacentral:rRNA from 1 species
AUUGGGGCUAAGUCGUAACAAGGUAGCCGUACCGGAAGGUGCGGCUGGAACACCUCCUUUCUGGAGC